GGCUCCGUAGUGCAAUGGUAGCAUGGGACUGUCGGUGACGGUCUACUCUCCGGGUUCGAAUCCCGGCGGAGCCA